rnacentral:rRNA from 1 species
ACACACCGCCCGUCACACCACCCGAGUUGAGGAUACCCGAAACCGUUAGCCCAACCUGCAAAGGAGGGCGAUGUCUAAGGUAUGCUUGGUAAGGGGGGUGAAGUCGUAACAAGGUAGCCGUACCGGAAGGUGCGGCUGGAUCACCUCCUUU